AGCCAUUGUUGCCUUCAGGCUCUAGGGAGUCCGAGGAGACCAGGGAAUGAAGCGCUCCCCAGCACAGUGCAGCAGUUCUACAGAGAAGCAGCCAGACUGAUUUUUCGUGCAAGUCCUUUAUGCUGUUUCUCUUUACUGGGCAGAAUCUCCAAACCGAGGACGACAACCACCCCCAUAGAUGUGUUCAGGCAAGCAAAUAGCUAGAACAUCAAUAAGAUGCUGGAGUUUAAUCAACCACAGCAGACUGUGAGGUGGAAGCCACUUGGUGAUUGUGAGCCAGCACCAAGAUCGAAGGCAUUUGGAUCCCUGGUGAUCACAGACCCAGCAUGUCAUCUCUGCAAAGCUUCCCAGAAAGUGUGGAAUAUUGGCCUUCCUUUUCAGAUUCAUGUGAAAGCUUGGAGAAAAGAACACAGACUAAAAGGAAUAUAAAUCCAAAAGAAUGAGUGAAAUGGGAAUACACAAGGCAUGAGCAAUAAGACUGUUCUCUCAGAAACAAUGAGAAUAACUGCUCUACAUCUUACAAACCAGAAACUUACACGUUGUAUCUCAUUAAAUUUUAUUUUGAAUAUUGAGAA
ensembl:lncRNA LINC02468 long intergenic non-protein coding RNA 2468